UACGUAGGCAGCGAGCGUUGUUCGGAAUUACUGGGCGUAAAGAGUGUGUAGGCGGUGCUCUAAGUUCGGUGUGAAAUCUCCCGGCUUAACUGGGAGGGUGCGCCGGAAACUGGAGUGCUCGAACGUGGGAGAGGAAAGCGGAAUUCCUGGUGUAGCGGUGAAAUGCGUAGAUAUCGGGAGGAACACCUGCGGUGUAGACGGCUUUCUGGACCAUUGUUGACGCUGAGACACGAAAGCGUGGGUAGCAAACAGG
rnacentral:rRNA from 1 species